rnacentral:rRNA from 1 species
AUACGUAGGGUGCAAGCGUUAAUCGGAAUUACUGGGCGUAAAGCGUGCGCAGGCGGUUUUGUAAGACAGAGGUGAAAUACCCGGGCUCAACCUGGGAACUGCCUUUGUGACUGAAAGGCUAGAGUCCGGCAGAGGGGGAUGGAAUUCCGCGUGUAGCAGUCAAAUGCGUAGAUAUGCGGAGGAACACCGAUGGCGAAGGCAAUCCCCUGGGCCUGUACUGACGCUCAUGCACGAAAGCGUGGUGAGCAAACAGGAUUAGAUACCCUGGUAGUCCACGCCCUAAACGAUGUCAACUGGUUGUUGGGUCUUCAUUGACUCAGUAACGAAGCUAACGCGUGAAGUUGACCGCCUGGGGAGUACGGCCGCAAGGUUGAAACUCAAAGGAAUUGACGGGG